rnacentral:rRNA from 1 species
GAUGAACGCUGGCGGCGUGCUUAAUACAUGCAAGUCGAGCGAACGGACGAGAAGCUUGCUUCUCUGAUGUUAGCGGCGGACGGGUGAGUAACAUGUGGAUAACCCACCUAUAAGACUGGGAUAAUUUCGGGAAACCGGAGCUAAUACCGGAUAAUAUUUUGAACCGCAUGGUUCAAAAGUGAAAGACGGUCUUGCUGUCACUUAUAGAUGGAUCCGCGCUGCGUUAGCUAGUUGGUAAGGUAACGGCAUACCAAGGCAACGAUGCAUGGCCGACCUGAGAGAGAGCUCGGCCUCACUGGAGCGGAGACCCGGCCAAGGCGCCUACGAGAGGCAGCAGAAGGGAAUCUGCCGCAAUGGGCGGGAGCCUGACGCAGCAACGGCGCGUGAGUGAUGGAGGUCUUCGGAGCGUGAAACUCUGUUAUUAGGGAUGAACAUAUGUGUAAGUAGCUGUGCACAUCUUGACGGUACCUAAUCAAAAAGCAACGGCUAACUACGUG